rnacentral:rRNA from 1 species
AGUGAACGCUGGCGGCGUGCUUAACACAUGCAAGUCGAACGAGAACGGAAUAUAGCUUGCUAUAUUUGUCAGCUAAGUGGCGCACGGGUGAGUAAUGUAUAGAUAACCUGCCAUUAAGAAAGGAAUAACAGUUGGAACCGACUGCUAAUGCCCUAUAUGACUUAAAUACAUAAGUAUGAAAGGGAAACGCUUUAGUGCUUAAGGAUGGGUCUGUAUGGUAUUAGCUUGUUGGUGAGGUCAUGGCUCACCAAGGCUAUGACGCCUAACUGGUUUGAAAUGAUUGUCCGUCCUAAUGGAACUGAGACACGGUCCAGACUUCUACGGGAGGCCGCAGUGGGGAAUAUUGCACAAUGGACGAAAGUCUGAUGCAGCAACGCCGCGUGGAGGAUGACACAUUUCGGUGCGUAAACUCCUUUUAUAUAGGAAGAUAAUGGCGGUACUAUAUGAAUAAGCACCGGCUAACUCCGUGCCAGCAGCCGCGGUAA